rnacentral:rRNA from 1 species
AGCGGCGUAAGGGACAGUAAUGUGUAGGUACGUACCUCCGGGCCUGGGAUAGCUGCGGGAAACUGCAAUUAAUACCAGAUAACGUCUCCGGACCAAAGGUGUGAUUCCGCCGGGAGAGCGGCCUACAUCCUAUUAGCUAGUUGGCGGGGUAACGGCCCACCAAGGCUCAGAUGGGUAGCAGGUGUGAGAGCACGACCUGCGUCACUGGGACUGAGACACUGCCCAGACACCUACGGGUGGCUGCAGUCGAGAAUCUUCGGCAAUGAGCGCAAGCUUGACCGAGCGACGCCGCGUGCGGGAUGAAGGCCUUCGGGUUGUAAACCGCUGUCAGAGGGGACGAAGUGCUAGUGGGUACUCCCAUUAGCUUGACUGAUCCUCAAAGGAAGGGUGGGCUAAGUUCGUGCCAGCAGCCGCGGUAAGACGUACCACCCGAACGUUAUUCGGAUUUACUGGGCUUAAAGAGUCCGUAGGCGGCCAAGUAAGUUGGAUGUGAAAUACCUCGGCCUAACCGAGGAACAGCAUUCAAAACUACUUGGCUUGAGAGAGACAGAGGUGAGCGGAACUGAUGGUGGAGCGGUGAAAUGCGUUGAUAUCAUCAGGAACACCGGUGGCGAAAGCGGCUCACUGGGUCUCUUCUGACGCUCAGGGACGAAAGCUAGGGGAGCGAACGGGAUUAGAUACCCCGGUAGUCCUAGCCUUA